GUGGAGUGAUCUGUCUGCUUAAUUGCGUUUCACUAAGGGCCCAUAAAUUCAAGGUAUGUUAGCAAAUGCUGCUCUAUUGACCCCUAAUAGGCUUAACUGUCUUUAGCGCGUGUCUCUACGAGUUCUUUAAAGCACUGCGCAUGCUGUUGGGUCCUGAAAGCAACGAACGUGACCGCAACGUCUUGUUGCCUCUCUAUAAUACCUUCUUAUUUUUAAUAAGAGUAUUUACCUGAGGCUAUUUUAAAACUAGACGGACCGCUGUUUCUUUCUUAAACCAGAGGAAGGUUGCGGCAAUAACAGGUCUGUGAUGCCCUUAGAUGUUCCGGGCUGCACACGUGCUACAAUGAUCAGUACAGUGAGCAUCUCAAUUUUAUAACACCGUAUUAAGCGCUUGGGUCGUAAUUGUUAGGCCUUUUAGGUUUUUUCAAUUGCGUUUCUCCAAUGCGCACGGUAAAGCCUGCUUCGAGAGUAAGUGGGUAAUCCAUUGGAAGUAAUGAUUUCCUUAUUUUUAUAAACAGCACACCAAUAUACGGCAUUCAUUCCCGAGACGGCUUAGUUCCGACUUUGUGCGAAUGUAAUGUAUUCUUAUCCGUAUGUGCGAUUGUCAAUUCAUGGUGGGGACAGACCAUUGUUAAUUGUUGGUCUCGGUCUUAA
rnacentral:rRNA from 1 species